GGGGAGCCGCAGGGAAACCGAGUCUUAACUGGGCGUUAAGUUGCAGGGUAUAGACCCGAAACCCGGUGAUCUAGCCAUGGGCAGGUUGAAGGUUGGGUAACACUAACUGGAGGACCGAACCGACUAAUGUUGAAAAAUUAGCGGAUGACUUGUGGCUGGGGGUGAAAGGCCAAUCAAACCGGGAGAUAGCUGGUUCUCCCCGAAAGCU
rnacentral:rRNA from 1 species